rnacentral:rRNA from 1 species
GAUGAACGCUAGCGGCAGGCCUAAUACAUGCAAGUCGAGGGGUAGAAGAGGCUUGCUUCUUUGAGACCGGCGCACGGGUGCGUAACGCGUAUGCAACCUACCUUCAUCUGGGGGAUAGCCCGGAGAAAUCCGGAUUAAUACCGCAUAAAAUCACAGGAUGGCAUUAUCCAAAGAUCAAACAUUUAUGGGAUGGAGAUGGGCAUGCGUGUCAUUAGCUAGUUGGCGGGGUAACGGCCCACCAAGGCGACGAUGACUAGGGGAUCUGAGAGGAUGGCCCCCCACACUGGUACUGAGACACGGACCAGACUCCUACGGGAGGCAGCAGUAAGGAAUAUUGGUCAAUGGAGGCAACUCUGAACCAGCCAUGCCGCGUGCAGGAAGACUGCCCUAUGGGUUGUAAACUGCUUUUAUUCGGGAAUAAACCUUAUUACGUGUAAUAAGCUGAAUGUACCGAAGGAACAAGGAUCGGCUAACUCCGUGCCAGCAGCCGCAGUAA